AAAUGCUUUGAAAAAAAGUUAAACUUUGUUGAAUUAUGAACAACAUACUACUCUAAUUAGAAAGCAAAUACAAAAAAUAAAUUCCCUAAAAAUAAUAUUUAGAGCUCCUCUUAAUAAUUAAGUAUUGAAAUAUUCUUUCACUAUUCAUAAGAAACUAUGUUUUAAGUUCAAAUAGAAAAUCACAAAUUUAUGUUAUAUUUUUUGAGAACAAAAUUCGUUUUGGAUGAAAUUGUAGUAAAGUGAAAAUAUAUAAGUUUGUGUGAAGAAAUCAGUAAUAACAGAAAAUAUCAAUUUAUUGGCUCAAAAUAGUAAAAGCAUUCCAUAUUUGAAGCACUUUUGGAAAUUGAGACACAAUGUUUCCACAAGUCAUCACUCUUCUUCAAGUAUUCUCUUUCGUGGGCAAUUAACAUGGGUUUAUCUGCAAUAUAUUUAAUAAGCGUAUCGUGACACAUUUUUCCUUCUUUGACGAGAUCCUUGCAACAAGGGUCAGGCAUGGUUCCAUUUUCAAACACAGCAGCGAUUAUAUCCAAAGCACACUUAGGAGUGAUUUUAACAAAACAAGUAUUCCAUAAUAAUGUUGCUUCAGCUUCUUCGACUGAGAAAGCCGGAACAAACGCACACACCAAAGCUAAAACAAUGAACAAUGUAGUAAUCUGAGUGUUAAAUUUAGACAUAUCUACUUAUGGUUGAAAUAUACAAGAAAUAUUCUUAUUUUACUAAAGAAAUCGUAAGAAAGAAUGAUUAGUAUUUGUUAUUUAAAAAAUGGGGUAAUCUAACUUUUAUAUAGGAAAUCAAAAUCACAACGUAACUUCUAAAAAAACCAAAAAAGAUUAACGUUAUAUUUAAUGGCAAUUAAAAUUUUGACAAAUAAAUAUACUACCAAACUUAAA
rnacentral:sRNA from 1 species